rnacentral:rRNA from 1 species
CCUACGGGAGGCAGCAGUAGGGAAUCUUUCACAAUGGGCGAAAGCCUGAUGGAGCAACGCCGCGUGCAGGAUGAAGGCCUUCGGGUUGUAAACUUCUUUUAUGAGGGACGAAACAAAUGACGGUACCUCAUGAAUAAGCCACGACUAACUACGUGCCAGCAGCCGCGGUAAUACGUAGGUGGCAAGCGUUAUCCGGAUUUACUGGGUGUAAAGGGCGUGUAGGCGGGACUGCAAGUCAGAUGUGAAAAUUAUGGGCUCAACCCAUAACCUGCAUUUGAAACUGUAGUUCUUGAGUGAUGGAGAGGCAGGCGGAAUUCCGUGUGUAGCGGUGAAAUGCGUAGAUAUACGGAGGAACACCAGUGGCGAAGGCGGCCUGCUGGACAUUAACUGACGCUGAGGCGCGAAAGCGUGGGGAGCAAACAGGAUUAGAUACCCUUGUAGUC